rnacentral:rRNA from 1 species
GUGCCAGCAGCCGCGGUAAUACGGGGGGGGCAAGCGUUGUUCGGAAUUACUGGGCGUAAAGGGCUCGUAGGCGGCCAACUAAGUCAGACGUGAAAUCCCUCGGCUUAACCGGGGAACUGCGUCUGAUACUGGAUGGCUAGAGUGUGGGAGAGGGAUGCGGAAUUCCAGGUGUAGCGGUGAAAUGCGUAGAUAUCUGGAGGAACACCGGUGGCGAAGGCGGCAUCCUGGACCACGACUGACGCUGAGUGAGCGAAAGCCAGGGGAGCAAACGGGAUUAGAUACCCCAGUAGUCC